AGUGGCGGACGGGUGAGUAACGCGUGAGAAUCUGCCUUGGGGUCGGGGACAACCACUGGAAACGGUGGCUAAUACCGGAUAAGCCGAUUGGUGAAAGAUUUAUUGCCCGAAGAGGAGCUCGCGUCUGAUUAGCUAGUUGGUGAGGUAAGAGCUCACCAAGGCAGCGAUCAGUAGCUGGUCUGAGAGGACGAUCAGCCACACUGGGACUGAGACACGGCCCAGACUCCUACGGGAGGCAGCAGUGGGGAAUUUUCCGCAAUGGGCGAAAGCCUGACGGAGCAAGACCGCGUGAGGGAGGAAGGCUCUUGGGUUGUAAACCUCUUUUCUCAGGGAAGAAGCUCUGACGGUACCUGAGGAAUCAGCCUCGGCUAACUCCGUGCCAGCAGCCGCGGUAAUACGGAGGAGGCAAGCGUUAUCCGGAAUUAUUGGGCGUAAAGCGUCCGCAGGUGGCGAUUCAAGUCUGCUGUCAAACCACGGGGCUUAACUCCAUAAAGGCAGUGGAAACUGAAUAGCUAGAGUGCCGUAGGGGUAGAGGGAAUUCCCGGUGUAGCGGUGAAAUGCGUAGAGAUCGGGAAGAACAUCGGUGGCGAAAGCGCUCUACUGGACGGCAACUGACACUCAGGGACGAAAGCUAGGGGAGCGAAUGGGAUUAGAUACCCC
rnacentral:rRNA from 1 species